rnacentral:rRNA from 1 species
GAUGAACGCUGGCGGCAUGCCUAAUACAUGCAAGUCGUGCGGAAACACUUCGGGUGUCGAGCGGCGGACGGGUGAGUAACACGUUAGUAUCUACCCCAAACUGAGGGAUAAGCCCGAGAAAUCGGGUCUAAUACCGCAUAUGGUCUUUGGAUUAAAGCCUUCGGGCGGUUUGGGAGGAGCUUGCGUCUGAUUAGCUAGUUGGUAAGGUAAUGGCUUACCAAGGCUACGAUCAGUAGCUGGUCUGAGAGGAUGAUCAGUCACACUGGAACUGAGACACGGUCCAGACUCCUACGGGAGGCAGCAGUAGGGAAUUUUCCACAAUGGGCGAAAGCCUGAUGGAGCAAUGCCGCGUGCAGGAUGAAUGCCUUCGGGUUGUAAACUGCUUUUAUGAGGGAAGAUUAUGACGGUACCUCAUGAAUAAGCCUCGGCUAACUCCGUGCCAGCAGCCGCCGUAA